GUAGGGGGCGAGCGUUAUCCGGAUUUAUUGGGUUUAAAGGGAGCGUAGGCGGAUUGUUAAGUCAGUUGUGAAAGUUUGCGGCUCAACCGUAAAAUUGCAGUUGAUACUGGCAGUCUUGAGUGCAGUAGAGGUGGGCGGAAUUCGUGGUGUAGCGGUGAAAUGCUUAGAUAUCACGAAGAACUCCGAUUGCGAAGGCAGCUCACUGGAGUGUAACUGACGCUGAUGCUCGAAAGUGUGGGUAUCAAACAGGAUUAGAUACCCUGGUAGUCCACACAGUAAACGAUGAAUACUCGCUGUUUGCGAUAUACAGUAAGCGGCCAAGCGAAAGCAUUAAGUAUUCCACCUGGGGAGU
rnacentral:rRNA from 1 species